rnacentral:SRP_RNA from 1 species
CCCGGGUCUCGACCUGUCACCCUCGCGGGGGGCGAAUCAUGAAGGCUCUGCGGUCAGGGAGUCCGGUGCUUGGGUCGCCAUAUCGAGAAUCGAUCUGAACGAAGGUGUGGGUGGCGCAGCACCGCCAGGGAAGCCUGGCCCGUGUAUGUGCCGCAACGAGUGGUACAGCGGCUCAGAGGGUUUUCCCAGCAGGCCACACCAUCGCCCACGCCGGUCUUCAGAGCAUCGGUUUGAGUGGUUUAUCCCUGGUUAUCGCCCUACCCUCUGCCAACUUCGGUUCUU